rnacentral:lncRNA from 1 species
GACGAGUGGGAAAUGAAACACAGAUGGGUCAGAUGGGUAAGGAGAGGGGGAUUACAGGUCAGGCCAAAGAGUUGGAAUAAAUUAAGUGCUUAUGAGGUACAGAAUGGCACAUUGUUUAAGUGAAUGGACAGGGAAAAAACAUUCCAGCAUUGUUCAUCCGCCGAGGGAGCCCAACGCUCCUCUUCCCAGACGAGCCCAGGCCACAGAGCGCCUCCUCCUCGCCAAGAUGUUUGUGACCCACAGACUGAAAACGCGGCCAGGCGGUGCCCGAAACAUUCUCCCAGCCUCCAAAGAGGCCAGUUUGGCUUUAUUACACGGGAGAUGUAAUUUAUUGGGAGAAAUGUUUGGGUUCGUGUGUCGGAUGGUGGAGAGUCAGAUUUGGAGUUCCCUGGGGAUCUCCGAGGAGAAGAAGCAGAUGUUCACAAAGCAACUGACCAGGCCAGGUGUGUCCUUCAAGGCUACCUGCAUUCAACAGAGGUGACCACAGCCCAGACUCAUCCUUCCUGGGAGAGUUUCAAGAUGCUCCACAUAGUGGUGCCUAGCGCUCUGUGCACUCAGAGGCUAGAAGAAAAGAUACAGAGGUCCUCUUUCAAGGAGAGGCCCUGAUGUUUCUAUUCUUACAAGGAUUCUUUGGUAAUAAAUACAGUGAAAACACCGUCACCGUGGAGAUAAUACUUAAUGCUCAAGAGGUACGUAGCAGAGAUUGCAUUCCAAUCAAGGACUUCCGUAACCCUGUCUACCAAGCCAGUAUCACCUGUAGGCCAGUUCACCUCCAUCCAGUCACUUUACAGCACUUGAGUGUUUGCUGUCCGCUCAAUUAAAAUCCUACUCUGGUGGGAAAAACCAGAUUUCCAAAUGGGGACUUUAUUGAUUCAAUAAAAUUUAAGAAAUUCUGCUUAUGGAAAAACUCAUUAACCCAAACUAAUAAAUACGAGUUUACCCUG